CAUGACUUUUCUCUCCAUUGUAGAAAACUAAUUUCUUACCUAUCUCUUAAUCCGGCAGAGGACAAUCAGCAAAGCCACACUUAAUCUUCAACAGAGAUUUCAUUGUUUGGGUUGGAGAUCCAACCGGUACGGGAAGAGAUGGAGAAUAAUCCAUUUAUGGCUAUGUUGUAGUCUAAAUGGCUUUGUGACUACUUUUAGCAAUACCAGUUAGAACUGCCGGUGAAAGUUGAUUUCCCUGGUGCUAAGUUUCAUAGCGAUUCAUGUCCUUUGAAUGCUGACUUACUAGAGCGUGUUACGAUUUUGUUUUAGAUUUUUCUUCUACUGUAGGUCUUCAAUGAAGGGCAUAUAACCUUCCGAGAAAAAAUAGCGGCUAAAGAAUUUAGCCCAAAAGAAAGUUGUAGUGAUAAUGUCUCCCUUUCUUCCUCUUCUUUCUCCCAGGGCUAAGCGAGCGUGUUUAGCAUUCCUAAAUUUGAGGACCCAAGUUCAGAGAAAUACCAAUUCCAUUUGCUAUACAUAGCCAUAAAGAGCAGGAAAGCAAGAAAGAUAGAAAUUUCUACUAUGAUAGCAAUUUUGAUUAAAGAUAUUGAACUGUUGUUCAUUGUGGAGCAAUGUGUCAACGGAUUGCACGAGAAAAUAUGUUUUCGAAGUAAUUGACUGCAUUGGAGAAGAGAAGGAUGGGUUUCUUCUAAAAGAGCUCAUCAAAACUCAUAAUUCUCUAAAAAAUUAUAUAUAUUAGAUACAAGUACUUUUUGUGUGUGAUACAAGUACUCAAUGGAAUAUUGAAGGUGCAACAAGUUACUUCAGAGAUCAGUGAUGAUACUUUAUCUGUAUGAGUAGUUCUAAUUAAUUGAGUUAUGUUGGUCUGAGAUAGUAAGAAAUGUUGGCCAUCAGGACCCUUACUAACUUAUGAUGUGAUGCAAUUUGUAAUUUCUUAUAUCUAAUUUGUAUUUCUAUAUCAGCUUGGAUGUAAUUAUG